CAGUAAAACCAUGGGACAUCAGAGGAAGGUAACAAAGUGGUAGACAGGUGUCAGCUGAGGUGGAGAUGGGAGGGUGUCCAUGGCCAAAGCCAUCAGGGGCUGCCCCUUCUCAAAUCCAGACCAGAGAGUCAGACAGCCUGGCUAGAUCAGACCUGGACCUGUCACUAGCAGGGUCAUGGACAAGUUAACUCAGAUUCUCUAGGCAAAGUUACACCUUUCUCACAAGACUCACAGUAAAGGAGCACAGGCAUGUGCAAGACUCACCAAGACACCUGGCAAAUACUUGGCGUUACCCAUUUGUUGAGAUAAGUAGCUGAGUUUCCAGAUUCAUGUACCUACAGUGCUCAAGGUGAGUUCCCUUCGCUAGCACUGUCGGUGCCAUCUCACGCUAAAAAACCUCAAAUCCCAGAGGGAUCCGCAAGCACCCCGAAAGGUGACGUCCAGACCGCCCCUGUCUUCAGGUGUCCAGCAUCUCGCAGAGGCGCGGGACAGAAAGACUACAGCUCCCAGCAGCCACUGCGUGCUUCACUGCGCAGGCGUAGCCGCGCCUCGCCACCCCUCCCCCUCCGCCAACUGCUCCCGUCGGUCCGUUCGUAUUCCCCCCAUCAGUUCUAAUGUCCCCCUCUGCCUCUCCGGUACUUCACACUCACCGCGAACUCGGGGCGUCGGGUACAGCCGCUGUGCCUUCUCCAGGAAGCGGAGUGCCCGGUCGGGCUGGUUGCUCUGGAUGGCCUUGAGGGCGAUGCUGAUACAGCGCUCGGCUUCAUCCUUGUUGGAUUCCAUGGCGGAACCAGAGCGCGGAACCAGGGAGGGGGAGGCCCGGCAAGCGAAGGGCUGCGCCAGCCGCCGGCGCGUCGCGGGUCAGGCCGGCGCAGAAUGAUGACAUAAACCCUCCGCCCCUCCUUUCCGAAGAUUUGAGUGAGAGUCGAGCGAGGGCGAAGGGCUACCGUAUGUCAUCUAAGAGAGGGACGUUUGUUUUAGGUGUUAACAGCGCAAUCUAGAGCCCUAGAGCCCAGGGUGUUCCAGAGGUCUUUAGCCUUGAGUGUGCUUGCACGUUGUUGGUGGAAAAACUAUGCGUUUGAGACGAAUAAAUAUUUACUGAGUAUCCACA